ACCAGGGUAACCUAGUGGACAUGGCAUCUGCUCGGUAAGCGGAACAUUGUGGGUUCGUUUCCCACCCUUAGACA